rnacentral:rRNA from 1 species
AAGGAUCAUUCCUGUCUUGCGUGGCGUCGUCAUGGCGCCUCUACACACAUGUGAACUAUACAGAACCCCGAGAAAAAGGAAGGACAAAUACAGUUGUACUACUCUAUACAACUCUUGGCAAUGGAUCUCUUGGUUCUCCCAUCGAUGAAGAACGCAGCGAAUCGCGAAAGGUAGUGUGAAUUGCAGAACCGUGAAGCAUCGAGUCUUUGAACGCAUCUUGCGCCAGGGGGCUAUUCCCCCCGGCAUGCCUGUUUGAGUGUUGUGAAUCUCCAUCUGUGUCUGCGUUCGCGUGGGGCCAGGAUGUGGGUCUGCUCGGUUGAGAGCUUGCCUGAAAGAGAGAGAGAAGCGCGCGCUGGCUAUGGUGAAGCAUUGUAGCUGGGCGCAGUCGCGACGUUUCGCAUUCGACCUCAGAUCAGGUAGGAGUACCCGCUGAACUUAA